GGCUCUAUAGUUUAGUCGGUCAGAAUAUCCGGUUGUCAGCCGGAAGACACGGGUUCAAAUCCCGUUAGAGUCGCCA
rnacentral:tRNA from 1 species